rnacentral:miRNA from 1 species
UCGUAACCGUAGCCCCUGGUUA